UGUGAAAAUGAAUUGGUUCACUGGACCAGCAUGUUCUCUCUGCAGUUUAAUCUCAAGCCCCUGAAACAGGGAAGUGUGUGUGUGUGUGUGUGUGUGUGUGUGUGUGUGUGUUGUGUUACAGCCUGUGAAAGAGUAAAAACGCUGACACUCUCUACUCCAGUGUUAACAUCACGUUCUCAAGACAGAAUAUUCGCCCCGCCUCCUGGCCGAGAUCAUCCCACGACACGACGUUUCAGAGGACUCACCCUGGCGUGCUGUUAAAAAAAUCAUUUAAACAAUCACUGUAGAACCCUGCCGUGCUGUAGCGGCCGGGAGGCGUGGCCUAUGUCAGACUCGCGUGUCUCACUCGGGGGGUCUACGGCAGCACUACAAUGUCUGAUUGGUUCCUUACUUUUUUACCUUCGCCAGGAAGUGCAGCACUUUUCAGUGUUUCAGCACGUAAGCGCUCGCUCUCUCUCUCUCUCUCUCUCUCUCUCUCUCUCGCUCUCUCUCUCGCUCUCUCUCUCUCUGUGUCGUGUAAUAACGGUUGAACCCUGCGGUAUUUCACAUGUGGGACCGUGAAUAAAAUUAAACACCCUUACACCGUGUCAUAUCUUUUCAAUUAAACAGCGGCGUAUCAAUCCAUUUUACUUUACCUGGCACCGAGUAGAGGUAGUGUCUGAAGUAAGGCACGGCGGGCUGCUAAACACACUCAUUUACAGUCCCAGUCGCGUUUUUAUUUUUUUUAGGCACAGGAGGACAAAAGCUACUUCUUUUAUCGAAGCUUACAAAUAAUACCCAAGGUGUAGAAUAUACACACUUUAACUGCGCUCCGAAUAAAUAAACAAACAAACAAAUAAAUAAAUAAAACACUGUUGUGGGCGUGUCCGAUCUCGUAAACAGGAAAUUCGUCAUUUAACAUUAGCGAAAGGUCAUAGGGGUCGAACGAUUGCUAUGAAGCGCAAGUUUAUACGUUUUUAAACGUACACCGUCGACGUCUCAAAGACACAUCGAGAAAAUAACGCGCUGAUCAAUAACCGUCGUAUCGAUGUUUACGCGAUAUUCGGAGGAGCGUGCGAUUUUUCAAAAUAUACCGAGUCACGUGACGUCAUCACGACGCGCGUUCAACCGAUUUAUCGCUGCUCUGGUUUCGACCUCUGAAACAUGGUUAUAUCGCACGUGGGACCGUUUCCCUCAUGGCCCCGCCUACUUUUAAACCAACCACAAGAAAAUGACGAAGCAUAGAUUUUAAACAUAAAAAAAAAAAAAUGAAGCAAUCAACACUGUUGUGUAAACUCGCCACAGGAAGUUAGAGAUAAUUAUUCGAAGCUGAUUACGAAAAUAAGUCGCAUGUUUAUGGAGCACGGUCAAGAUCAAAGAGCCGCGUGAAAAACGUGUUUAUAUCCGAGAGUGGAGCGCUCACGCCGAACGGGACGAUCUGAUUGGCCGGAACGCAGGGGUCAGACAAAACAUGGAUUUACACCUCAAAGCUUCAACGUCAGGUGUGUGUGAGUAUACACAUCAAUAAAUAACAUCAGAUAUCAGUGUUGUCUGGAUAAACUCUUACUAACACACACACACACACACACACACACACACGCUUACUAUCCUUAUGAGGACCUUCCACUGACAUGAUUAAUACUGCACAUAAUUGAUGCUUAGCUACACAAAGUUUUGUAAAAAAAGAAAAUAAUAAUAAUAAAAUUUCGGCAUGAGGCCCAGACAGUCCGUCACAGCCUGUCCCUGCGAACACACAGACACAAGAUGUGAACACACACACGGUCCUCACACAGCACCUGCGUGACAGUUUAUAGGAACAUUCGUUUUAAGGGUCCAUUACUGAGGUCAGUGUGUGUGUAUAUACACACACACACAUUCUGAGGUGUACACACAGGUGAGACGUUUAUUGUAAGGGGUUAUUUAUAGUUUAUUGUUAUAGUUUCUGUGACCGAGGUCAAGAAGGUCGUGAUGGUAUGUGUGUGUGUGUGUGUGUGUGUGUGUGUAUAUACACACGCGCCCACAUGUGCACUGAUUGUCUCUCAUACAUAUAGCGAGAGAUCAAAGCAGUAAGCCAAUAAAAAAAAUCCCAACCGUGCGUGCGUGCGUGUGUGUGUGUGUGUGUGUGUGUGUGUGUCAGUGGAAGGAAAACACCACAGCUUAUAGUCAUGCGAGUUUUUGUUGAUGGAACUUCCUUAGAAAAGGAUAAUGACUGAUCGAACUGACUAGCUGGCCAUAUUUGUAUAUAUUAUGCUAGCUAUCGUCUGACUAUUGUAUGGAGCUAGCCAUUCGGCGCAGUGGAGUGUGUGUGUGUGUGUGUGUGUGUGUGUGUGUGUGUGUGUGUGUGUGUGAGUGUGAGAUCGAUCCUGACGAGAGGCAAGGAGUUUAAUUCACCUAUUAUGGCUUAUAGCGUCGUCAAACAGUACACUCGGGAGCCCAAGC
ensembl:lncRNA